UCUAUCCUUUAUGUAUCGAUCUCUAUAUAUAUACUCAGAACCUUGCAUGACAAGGUAUUCUAUGCACAAGAAUACUGACUCUUCUAACUCAAAAACUAAAACCAUUAUCCACGCCUAACGCCCUAACUGUUUGGGAUAAUAUAACGAUUCUCCUAUAAACGUCAGGAGUAUUUAAGGGUUUUUUACCACAUGAAGAAAACACCGCUUCCCAUUCUCUGGCGGUAGAAAGAGAUAGACAGAUAGUGCAAGACGGAGGGAGAGAUUGAGCGCGCGAGGGAGGUAGAGAGAGGCGCGGCGGUCAUGGAGGAACUGGCUAUGGUCUCCGGCCGACGGUAAUGUUGUCGAUCGUCGCUGAAUGGGAACUUGACGGCCGGGGGUUCUAGGGUUCCGGCGGCGGUGCCGGAACCGACCUACAUCUGCCGCUCACUACCAUCGGUAGGUUACACACAUGUCAGCGCCCACCUAUAGCCUUAAUACCACCGAUAACCGCCGCCCUGCCCCAAAUCCAGGUCCGGCGACAAAGAAAGCAUUACUUCCCUAAACCGCAAGAGGCAACGACUUCGUCCCCCACAUUGGUUAACCACCAUCGUCACCACAAUCACCGUCACUCACCUCUUGCAAAACCCUAUCCUUGCUCAACACCAUCUAUUGGCCCUAAUUGAACACUACUGCGUCGAAUCGUCGUAACCGAAUAUAACAUCAGGUACUUUUUCUUCUCUCGCUUUAUGUUACUCUUCUUGAAUGGAUGGAGAUAAUGAUGUUAGAGGCCGGUCUCCCUGCCCUUCUUGUUAUUUUAAAAUUGAUACCCCUUUGCUUUGUUCCCAUAUAUGCACAGGAAGGAUACUAUUUCUAACUGAAAAACGCGGUAAUGAUUUCCUAUAUUAUUAUUAUUAUCUUUUUAAAGAUGCGUUCAUAGUCUCAAAUGAAGCAUUUAGUUUUCUGCAAUCAAUUGUUUAUCUGGGAUUAAGUUGUUUGUCUUGGUUUGUCCAAUAUGUGAUGCAAAUUUGGGCAAAGAUGCACUUACUCAUUUCACAUCCCACCAUGCCCAUUCGAUUUUUGACACUUUAUCAAUCUGGUGACGCUGAAGGAAGGUCUGAUGUUACCCCGUUAAGUAUCUUGAUGAGACUGAUAGUUGCUUUAAAAAUGAAUUUAAUCACAAAUAAAACUUAUGUUUGUAUUUCGAUAUUCCAUAUAUGUCGUUUGUGUUUGAAAAAAAUAGUUAUAAAAAUUGGUGUUCUAUUCAUGAAUCGUUCGAUUUUGUUUUGGCCUUUUAGUAUAUGAAAGGGAUACUUAUGUGGAUAUACAGAACGAUUAGUCAGAAAUAAGAAUGUAUAUGGUUUCAGUUUUAACUAUAGCUACUGUUUCUAGACGCGAGAAAGGGUUCUUAAUAGUUUUUUACUUCAGUUUGGUUUCUGCAAUUGAACUGCUCUACAACGAUGAACUUUUGGGUUUUAACAUUCAAUUUCAGUUCAAUAAUACUUUAGGAAUUAGGAAGGUCUCAUUAUACCUUCUACUUCCAGGUAGGGACUAGGGACCGCAAUUGUUAUGUACUAUUAAAUUCUUUUUUUAAUAAGCUUUUGUUAUAUAUAUGAAACAUCAUUGCCUUAGCGCCAGUGUAGCUUUUAGAGUUUUUGGGUUUGACCACUAAGCUUUUCCUUUACAUUUUGCCAUGUUACAUGUGGUUUCUUUCGGGCCACAAAACAAAGCGAGAGAACCGAGUAGAGUAUUCACAUGAGAGAGAGAGAGAGAGAGAAUCGGCGAUAGAAAUGAUGGAAUCCGGUCGGCGGCUUAACCUGCGCGUGAACUUCUUUAAUCGAGAUAUAUGAUGUAUGCCCCUUGAACAUGAUGUAUGAUGCUUGAGUUUUAUAAGGGUUGUCAAUGAAGAACUAUGUCUCUUCAUGGUGUCUGUCAGCGUAAGGAACCAACCUGAACCACUGGAGUAGUGGUGGUGGAUGCUUAGGAGGUGUUUGGUUGGAGUCAACUGGUCAUCGCUGUUAACAGAAGUUAAAACAUGUGUCAAGUGGUCAAAGGCAGAGGAGUGAUACACGCCUCGGUUUUGAAAGAGCUUCGUAUCGGUAUGGUAUUCAGCUAUGGUGGAAAAUAUGGGGAAAGUAUGCCAGGAUCGAUUUUUUACAAGAUAAGGAAUGUUUUUUUUUUUAGUUAUUUUAUAUUAGUGAAAUAUUGAUUUAAAGUUAGUCAAAUGUAGAUAUUUAGAGUUUUCUCGAUGAAUUUUGUCAACCAGCCUCAUAUCAUGAAUGAGAAUGUUAUAUUGUUA